rnacentral:lncRNA from 1 species
UGCGUUUCUCGCCGCUCGAAGCGUCGCCCUUCCCGAAGCCCCUUGUCGGCGGCGGCCAUGGUUGGACGAAGAUCAGGAGCCCCCGCCGUGGCCUAUCAUGUGCCCCAGGUUUCUCUUCUUCGUCUUCUUUCAGGAACGGGAGCUCGCCGGAGACCGAGUGCCCCGUGCCGCUGGAGCAGCAGCCUGUGAACGAGUACCAGGCGUUGUCCGCUUCCCUCCCUUUCUCCUGGGCGGCGGGUGAUAUCGGCCUCUACUGCUCCCGUCUUGCCUGCACUGGGGCAGCGUUUGCCCUCCUGGUGGGGCUACCCGUGUCUGCCUUUGGAAGGGGAUUCAUCGGAGAUCCUGAAACGUAUGCCCUCCGAUGCACCCUUGGGGCUGUGUCCACAGG